CAUUCAGUAGCCUCGCUACUUGUUAUACCCUUGUUUUUUGCGUACUAUUGUUUCCUCGGCGGGCUUGCCUGCCGGUUGGACAAAACUAUAACCUUUUAAUCUUCAAUCAGCGUCUGAAUUAUACAUAAUAAUUAC
rnacentral:misc_RNA from 1 species